rnacentral:misc_RNA from 1 species
UCGUAUUGCCUGAGAGAAAACUUAAGGAAUGAUUAGUCUGCUGGGGUUUGACGAUUUUUGAUUUGACGGAAAGGUUAUAUACAAACUCUAUCGUCGCUAUUGUAUUGAUGUGCGUCCCAUAAAACAUAGUUUUGGAAGUUCAUAACAAUAGUGAGAAAGAACAGUUACCAUAGAUCAACAUGUGGCACGAAGCGAGAAAGCAGGAGCGUCUCUUGAAGUCCAUGAUGGUAGAUCACCGAAGAAGGGCAGAAAGGCGUCGAGAAUAUUACGAAAAAACUAAAGGAGAUCCAGCUCAGUUCCUUCAAGUUCAUGGCCGGCCUAUGAAAAUCCAUGUUGACCCUAGCAUUGCAGCUAUCGCAGACAGCCCUGCUACUAUGAUGCCUUGGCAAGGGCAGCCAGAUAUAUUGAUUGACCGGUUUGAUGUUAGAGCACAUCUGGAUUUUAUCCCUUGUCGCCCAAAAAGAGAUGACAGCGACACAGAUCUUGGUCCCAGUGAAGAAGUGUGGGAGGAAAGACAAGCAAGCUAUGAGAGAUAUAGAAUUCUUGUGCAAAAUGAAUUUAUUGGAGUUUCAGAGGAAAAGUUUCUACAUCAAAUAUUGCUUGAAGAGCAAUUUGGACCAGUUCAAAAAUUAGGCGAAGAAGAAAAGAAAAAAAUGCUAGCUCCAAAGAAAGCUGCUAUAGGUUUUGUUUAUGAUGAUUCUUCGCCAUCAUUAUCGGCCGCUGCAGCGUCAACCUCACAUAAUAUUCCUUUGGUUCCUCCGGAAGCAAUCGAAGAAGAUGAAUCUGAUAGUGACGUCGAUUUAGAUUUGUCUAUUGCCGUGGACAAACUGACCACUGAGCAAAUGCACGAAGUCAACAAAUGUGCGCUUCAUUAUGGACUAGGCCGGCAGGACUUCAUGUCACUACUCACUCGUGACUUGGACGAACAAGAGUCAUUAAGAAUUGCCAAGGAGGAAGAACAGGAAAGAGCGAUGUAUUCCGGAAGAAAAGCUAGGAAAGAGCGGCGGGCAUUCAGAGAACAAAAACUGCAAGCUUUGCUAAUGAAUCGGUGUCUUAGUCCACCAAGUUACGCUACUCGAGCAAGCCCAACUUAUGAUGGGCAGUUUCGCCGCUCUAAAUCGGUGUCAAAGUCAAGGUCGCCUUCGCCAUUCGAAGGCGGAAUCAAAUUCAUAACAUCAUUUGGUGACGAAGAUUCGGAUCCUGGAGGAAAAACGAUUAAUUCUCGGCCUGGAAACAAAACCCGCGACAAAGAUUUAUCAAGUAGCAGACGAUCAUUAGGUUCCACAGCUACCUCGGCUCGAGACAGAGCUGGACGUCCUUCAAGUAGCGGCCGUGAUGAAUGGAAAGUACAAGAAAGACGACGUUCCCGCUCGAGAUCGGUAGGCCGUCGCGCUAGAUCUCCUGUAUCGCACAGUUCGAGAACAAAGAAAGAGAAAAAAACUGAAUAUAGCUACAAAAACGAGCGCUCUGGAUCUCGCUCUCACCGAAGAUCACGUUCACCACGUCAUCGUCGCACUCGUUCGCGAUCAAGGUCUCGCCGUCGUUCGCGUUAUUCAAGAUCACGCUCUCGGUCUUAUUCUCCUCGAAGUAGCAGACGCCAAAGAAAGCGCUCAUUUUCGCGAGAGCGCAGUCGUAGAAAAUCACCGUCAUCUUCCUCGAGGUCAUCAUCUUCGCGGUCCUCAUCGUCGCCUCCUUCAGUCCGAUCUACUUCACCCAUCCAACCGUCUCUAUCGUCCGCCCUGCCGACUCGAGAAAUACGCCAAAUUAGUCCACCCGAGAUACCUAAUCCACCUCCUGCCCCUCCAUUUCGGCGUUAUUAUGGGCGACAAAAAAGUGACUCUGAUUUGUCCCUAUCGGAUACAGAGUUGACGCCAUCAUCCAAGAUUUCAGCGUCUUCGUAUUCAACGCCUAAGCCUUCUGUUUCAACCGUGACAGGUUCUAGUGGUACAAGCACUGGUGCAACCAAAGUCAAAUACGUUGACGCCACAAGAACGCUUAAAGCGCAAGAUGCAAGCAGCUCUCAACAAACAAUACAAGGCGGAUAAACGUGCAGAAAAGGAGAAGCUGCAAAAAGUCGAACAAGAAAGGGUGAACCGAGAGGAAGAAAUGCGCGAAUUGGCACUUAGACUACGUCGCAAGGAGCGUAUGCGUCGCCAUGCUGCAAAAGGAGAAUCUGGUUCUUCUAGCCCGUCUUCUCGUUCACAGUCACGCUCACCAUCUCGUACGCCAU